GUGUAGAGUAAUCUGUCUUCAAAUAGGGGCAAAUCACUCUUAAAAAAAAAUGAAUCCUAGAUAGUUUUCCUUUCAAGUCAAGCAUCUUGU
rnacentral:pre_miRNA from 1 species